GAUCAUUAGAAGCUGAUGAUAUAAUUGUGUUAUAAUGAAAAGCAUUCUGGUGAUUAUUCCGUAGAGAACUUCUCUGUAGAUAAUAUUCAAAUUUACUUUAUUUUGGCAUCAUUUCAAAGAAGCUGGAGGUACAAUGCAAACAGCUGGACUGUGAGCUGCUUAACAUCUCUGAGCCAUCUCUGAGGUUUGGAGAGGAAAAGACUAAGAAAGAAGUCUGCACUGUACCCCUUAAAGUAGAAUACCUUUCAACAUGUGCUGAAAAAAUGCAGAACUCAAGCAAACCUUGCUGCUCUGUUGUAGUACUUGAAUCACAUUUUGAGAGUGUGUCAUAAACCAACACAGAUGUCAGCCGGUCUUAGGAGAUACAAGCAACAGACAUCCAAAAAAAAAAAAAAAAAAACCCUUUCCUUUAAAACCUAGGAUUAAUACAUAGAUAUAGGACACAUCUGGGUGAAUUUCAGGGACUUAUAUCUAUAAAUUUUAAUUGAACAUCUUUAACAGUAAUUUAUCAAGUUUAUUGCCUC
rnacentral:lncRNA from 1 species